AAAUGGGCUCAACUGUGUGGACAUGGGCUUGGUUAGGCCCAAUUUGAUAACAUCAUAAGAAAGAGAGACAAAAACCCUAAUUUCUAUCAUCUUUGAGUUUGAGCUCACUCGCCGUAUCGCGAACGAAGAAGCUGAGAUCCAAAUCAACAUUUCACAAUGAAGUUCAACGUUGCAAAUCCAACCACUGGUUGCCAGAAGAAGCUUGAAAUUGAUGACGACAUGAAGCUUCGUGCAUUUUGGGACAAGAGGAUCUCACAAGAGGUUUUGGGUGAUGCUUUAGGAGAAGAAUUUAAGGGAUAUGUCUUCAAAAUCACUGGUGGAUGUGACAAACAAGGCUUUCCAAUGAAGCAGGGUGUGUUAACCCCUGGUCGUGUUCGCCUCUUGCUCCACAGAGGUACUCCUUGUUUCCGAGGCCACGGAAGGCGUAAUGGAGAGCGAAGAAGGAAGUCUGUUCGUGGGUGCAUUGUCAGCCCAGACCUCUCUGUUCUGAACUUGGUUAUUGUGAAGAAGGGUGAAAAUGAUUUGCCAGGUUUGACUGAUGUUGAAAAGCCCAGAAUGAGGGGUCCUAAGAGGGCUUCCAAAAUCCGUAAGCUCUUCAAUCUGUCCAAGGAUGAUGAUGUCAGGAAGUAUGUCAACACCUACCGUCGGACUUUCACAACCAAAGCAGGUAAAAAGCAGAGCAAAGCCCCAAAGAUACAGCGCCUGGUCACUCCUUUGACUCUUCAAAGAAAGAGGGCAAGAAUUGCUGAUAAGAAGAAAAGAAUUGCCAAAGCAAAAUCAGAGGCAGCAGAUUACCAAAAACUUCUUGCCUCUAGAUUGAAGGAGCAGAGGGAACGCCGCAGUGAGAGUUUGGCUAAGAAGCGAUCAAGGCUCUCCACCGCUAAGCAAGGUGUUGCAGCGUAGAAUGCUUGCAGAGAUGAAGUUGAUGCUUCACCUGAGUUUUUGUAGUAUUAUUUGAUGCUGAUGCUUUUGUUAUGAUAUUUUGCAAUUCAACAAUGUUGUUUUAAUACUUUUUUUGUGUUCAAUGUCUGUUGUAGUUUGCAUUUCAGCAAUUUUGUUUUAAUAGUUGUCUGGUGGAUCGAUUGGUCUCUUGAUAUAUAAUUUUGGUAUCUAUUGACUGUUGCGGUUAUUUACA